rnacentral:rRNA from 1 species
UAAAAAAAGGUAAGCUACUAAGAGCGAAUGGUGGAUGCCUUGACUGGUAAAGGCGAUGAAGGACGUACUAGACUGCGAUAAGCUACGGGGAGCUGUCAAGAAGCUUUGAUCCGUAGAUUUCCGAAUGGGGCAACCCAAUGUAUAGAGAUAUACAUUACCUAUAUAGGAGCGAACGAGGGGAAUUGAAACAUCUUAGUACCCUCAGGAAAAGAAAUCAAUAGAGAUUGCGUCAGUAGCGGCGAGCGAAAGCGCAAGAGGGCAAACCCAGUGCUUGCACUGGGGGUUGUAGGACUGCAAUGUGCAAGAGGUAAGUUUAGCAGAACAUUCUGGAAAGUAUAACCAUAGAGGGUGAUAGUCCCGUAUGCGAAAAACAAACCUUAGCUAGCAGUAUCCUGAGUAGGGCGGGACACGAGGAAUCCUGUCUGAAUCCGGGUCGACCACGAUCCAACCCUAAAUACUAAUACCAGAUCGAUAGUGCACAAGUACCGUGAGGGAAAGGUGAAAAGAACUGAGGUGAUCAGAGUGAAAUAGAACCUGAAACCAUUUGCUUACAAUCAUUCAGAGCCCUAUGUAGCAAUACAGGGUGAUGGACUGCCUUUUGCAUAAUGAGCCUGCGAGUUGUGGUGUCUGGCAAGGUUAAGCAAACGCGAAGCCGUAGCGAAAGCGAGUCUGAAUAGGGCGCUUAGUCAGAUGCUGCAGACCCGAAACGAAGUGAUCUAUCCAUGAGCAAGUUGAAGCUAGUGUAAGAACUAGUGGAGGACUGAACCCAUAGGCGUUGAAAAGCCCCGGGAUGACUUGUGGAUAGGGGUGAAAGGCCAAUCAAACUUCGUGAUAGCUGGUUCUCUCCGAAAUAUAUUUAGGUAUAGCGUUGUGUCGUAAUAUAAGGGGGUAGAGCACUGAAUGGGCUAGGGCAUACACCAAUGUACCAAACCCUAUCAAACUCCGAAUACCUUAUAUGUAAUCACAGCAGUCAGGCGGCGAGUGAUAAAAUCCGUCGUCAAGAGGGAAACAACCCAGACUACCAGCUAAGGUCCCUAAAUCUUACUUAAGUGGAAAACGAUGUGAAGUUACUUAAACAACCAGGAGGUUGGCUUAGAAGCAGCCAUCCUUUAAAGAAAGCGUAAUAGCUCACUGGUCUAGUGAUUUUGCGCGGAAAAUAUAACGGGGCUAAAGUAAGUACCGAAGCUGUAGACUUGCACACAACUUAGAUUAUUUAAGUUUAGAAUAUUAAGAAACUAAGUUAUAUGUUUUAGUUAUAUUUUUACUGAUUUUUAUAGAGUAAAGAUAGAAAUAAAACUUAGUAAAAUCAGUAAAAAUAUUCUUAGGCUAAAGUUAAGUAGUUUAAGUUGUGUGCAAGUGGUAGGAGAGCGUUCUAUUUGCGUCGAAGGUAUACCGGUAAGGAGUGCUGGAGCGAAUAGAAGUGAGCAUGCAGGCAUGAGUAGCGAUAAUUAAUGUGAGAAUCAUUAACGCCGUAAACCCAAGGUUUCCUACGCGAUGCUCGUCAUCGUAGGGUUAGUCGGGUCCUAAGUCGAGUCCGAAAGGGGUAGACGAUGGCAAAUUGGUUAAUAUUCCAAUACCAACAUUAGUGUGCGAUGGAAGGACGCUUAGGGCUAAGGGGGCUAGCGGAUGGAAGUGCUAGUCUAAGGUCGUAGGAGGUUAUACAGGCAAAUCCGUAUAACAAUACUCCGAGAACUGAAAGGCUUUUUGAAGUCUUCGGAUGGAUAGAAGAACCCCUGAUGCCGUCGAGCCAAGAAAAGUUUCUAAGUUUAGCUAAUGUUGCCCGUACCGUAAACCGACACAGGUGGGUGGGAUGAGUAUUCUAAGGCGCGUGGAAGAACUCUCUUUAAGGAACUCUGCAAAAUAGCACCGUAUCUUCGGUAUAAGGUGUGGUUAGCUUUGUAUUAGGAUUUACUCCGAAAGCAAGGAAACUUACAACAAAGAGUCCCUCCCGACUGUUUACCAAAAACACAGCACUCUGCUAACUCGUAAGAGGAUGUAUAGGGUGUGACGCCUGCCCGGUGCUCGAAGGUUAAUUGAUGGGGUUAGCAUUAGCGAAGCUCUUGAUCGAAGCCCGAGUAAACGGCGGCCGUAACUAUAACGGUCCUAAGGUAGCGAAAUUCCUUGUCGGUUAAAUACCGACCUGCAUGAAUGGCGUAACGAGAUGGGAGCUGUCUCAAAGAGGGAUCCAGUGAAAUUGUAGUGGAGGUGAAAAUUCCUCCUACCCGCGGCAAGACGGAAAGACCCCGUGGACCUUUACUACAGCUUGACACUGCUACUUGGAUAAGAAUGUGCAGGAUAGGUGGGAGGCUUUGAGUAUAUGACGCCAGUUGUAUAUGAGCCAUUGUUGAGAUACCACUCUUUCUUAUUUGGGUAGCUAACCAGCUUGAGUUAUCCUCAAGUGGGACAAUGUCUGGUGGGUAGUUUGACUGGGGCGGUCGCCUCCCAAAUAAUAACGGAGGCUUACAAAGGUUGGCUCAGAACGGUUGGAAAUCGUUCGUAGAGUAUAAAGGUAUAAGCCAGCUUAACUGCAAGACAUACAAGUCAAGCAGAGACGAAAGUCGGUCUUAGUGAUCCGGUGGUUCUGUGUGGAAGGGCCAUCGCUCAAAGGAUAAAAGGUACCCCGGGGAUAACAGGCUGAUCUCCCCCAAGAGCUCACAUCGACGGGGAGGUUUGGCACCUCGAUGUCGGCUCAUCGCAUCCUGGGGCUGGAGCAGGUCCCAAGGGUAUGGCUGUUCGCCAUUUAAAGCGGUACGCGAGCUGGGUUCAGAACGUCGUGAGACAGUUCGGUCCCUAUCUGCCGUGGGCGUAAGAAGAUUGAAGAGAUUUGACCCUAGUACGAGAGGACCGGGUUGAACAAACCACUGGUGUAGCUGUUGUUCUGCCAAGAGCAUCGCAGCGUAGCUAAGUUUGGAAAGGAUAAACGCUGAAAGCAUCUAAGCGUGAAGCCAACUCUAAGAUGAAUCUUCUCUAAGCUCUCUAGAAGACUACUAGUUUGAUAGGCUGGGUGUGUAAUGGAUGAAAGUCCUUUAGCUGACCAGUACUAAUAGAGCGUUUGGCUUAUCUUUAAUAAAGCAU